ensembl:lncRNA
CUAGAAUUGCUGACGACCUACUGGGAAUUUGGACGAAGUUUCUCGAGGCUAUAACACGACUGUACAUCCUCCUGGGAAGCCGGAAAGGAGGAGAACUUGGAGCAGCAGGGCGUGGAUCUUCUUAGCAGAGUGGAGCGGAGAUGGGAAAGGAAAUGUCUUCCCGUCAUUGUUCUGAUGGAAGAUGGGGAAGGUUGCCCGUGGCUCAGCAGGUAGAACUCAUUAACAGGGAGAGAAGUCCCCACCAGGGCUUGCCAACGGCCAAGUGUUACUCAUUCACCCGGCAAGAGUUCUGACAGGAGAGUCCAGGUGGAUUCUUUACCACUGAGCCACCAGGGAAGCUCCGAAAACACGAUGCAAAACUACAGUUCAGUAAAAGCAGUUCUACAAAAGCCAAAACAGAAGCGAGUAAUCGGAAACCCUUGGGUCAUGUGAGGCCUGCCCUUCCUCUAUCACAGACCAGAAUCUAAUUCCAGGACGCCCUCACAGGGAUGAGAGUAGCACUGCCUGUCAUUUUCAAUCCCCCAGAAAUGUGCAGACGAACCAAAACGUGGGACACUCAGGUGCAUUCGAAACAAAUGCCCAGAAAACGUUUGUUGCAGGUAACUAAAGUCAUGUGAUGUUUUUGUAACUAUGAAGAAUUAUUAUUACAGUGUGGGUACCCCCAAAUUUUAAGUCUGCUCUGUUCACAAGACAGCUGCUUCCUGACAAAUAACCUGCG